rnacentral:misc_RNA from 1 species
AAGAGUCCACAGGCAGACGGGGUAAAACCUGCCUGCCUGAACACUCCACCCUUUGUUUACAUUACCUUUGUUGCUUUGGCAGGCCCGUCUUCGGACCACCGGCUUCGGCUGGUCAGCGCCUGCCAGAGGACCUAAAACUCUUGUUAAUUUUAUUGUCUGAGUACUAUAUAAUAGUUA